rnacentral:rRNA from 1 species
GCAUAUCAAUAAGCGGAGGAAAAGAAACCAACAGGGAUUGCCCCAGUAACGGCGAGUGAAGCGGCAACAGCUCAAAUUUGAAAUCUGGCUCUCAGGGCCCGAGUUGUAAUUUGUAGAGGAUGCUUUUGGCGAGGUGCCUUCCGAGUUCCCUGGAACGGGACGCCACAGAGGGUGAGAGCCCCGUAUGGUCGGACACCGAGCCUCUGUAAAGCUCCUUCGACGAGUCGAGUAGUUUGGGAAUGCUGCUCAAAAUGGGAGGUAUAUGUCUUCUAAAGCUAAAUAUUGGCCAGAGACCGAUAGCGCACAAGUAGAGUGAUCGAAAGAUGAAAAGCACUUUGAAAAGAGGGUUAAAAAGUACGUGAAAUUGUUGAAAGGGAAGCGCCUAUGACCAGACUUGCGCCCGGUGAAUCACCCAGCGUUCUCGCUGGUGCACUUUGCCGGGCACAGGCCAGCAUCAGUUCAGCGCGGGGGAGAAAGGCUUCGGGAAUGUGGCUCCCUCGGGAGUGUUAUAGCCCGCUGCGUAAUGCCCUGCGCCGGACUGAGGUACGCGCAUUGCAAGGAUGCUGGCGUAAUGGUCAUCAGCGACCCGUCUUGAAACACGGACCAAGGAGUCGUCUUCGUAUGCGAGUGUUCGGGUGUCAAACCCCUACGCGUAAUGAAAGUGAACGUAGGUGAGAGCUUCGGCGCAUCACCGACCGAUCCUGAUGUUCUCGGAUGGAUUUGAGUAAGAGCAUACGGGGCCGGACCCGAAAGAAGGUGAACUAUGCCUGUAUAGGGUGAAGCCAGAGGAAACUCUGGUGGAGGCUCGCAGCGGUUCUGACGUGCGAAUCGAUCGUCAAAUAUGGGCAUGGGGGCGAAAGACUAAUCGAACCUUCUAGUAGCUGGUUUCCGCCGAAG